rnacentral:tRNA from 1 species
UGGAUGUAAGCUAAAUGGUAAAGCAUUACUUUUUGAUAGUAUGAUAGUUGGUUCGAUCCCAGCACAUCCAU